rnacentral:sRNA from 1 species
CUUGGUCAUUUAGAGGAAGUAAAAGUCGUAACAAGGUUUCCGUAGGUGAACCUGCGGAAGGAUCAUUAGUGAAUCUAGGACGUCCAACUUAACUUGGAGUCCGAACUCUCACUUUCUAACCCUGUGCAUCUGUUAAUUGGAAUAGUAGCUCUUCGGAGUGAACCACCAUUCACUUAUUAAACACAAAGUCUAUGAAUGUAUACAAAUUUAUAACAAAACAAAACUUUCAACAACGGAUCUCUUGGCUCUCGCAUCGAUGAAGAACGCAGCGAAAUGCGAUACGUAAUGUGAAUUGCAGAAUUCAGUGAAUCAUCGAAUCUUUGAACGCACCUUGCGCUCCUUGGUAUUCCGAGGAGCAUGCCUGUUUGAGUGUCAUGAAAUCUUCAACCCACCUCUUUCUUAGUGAAUCUGGUGGUGCUUGGUUUCUGAGCGCUGCUCUGCUUCGGCUUAGCUCGUUCGUAAUGCAUUAGCAUCCGCAACCGAACUUCGGAUUGACUUGGCGUAAUAGACUAUUCGCUGAGGAUUCUAGUUUACUAGAGCCGAGUUGGGUUAAAGGAAGCUCCUAAUCCUAAAGUCUAUUUUUUGAUUAGAUCUCAAAUCAGGUAGGACUACCCGCUGAACUUAAGCAUAUCAAUAAGCGGAGGAAAAGAAACUAACAAGGAUUCCCCUAGUAGCGGCGAGCGAAGCGGGAAGAGCUCAAAUUUAUAAUCUGGCACCUUCGGUGUCCGAGUUGUAAUCUCUAGAAGUGUUUUCCGCGUUGGACCGCACACAAGUCUGUUGGAAUACAGCGGCAUAGUGGUGAAACCCCCGUAUAUGGUGCGGACGCCCAGCGCUUUGUGAUACACUUUCAAUGAGUCGAGUUGUUUGGGAAU